rnacentral:rRNA from 1 species
GGACUACACGGGUAUCUAAUCCUGUUUGCUCCCCUAGCUUUCGAGCCUCAGCGUCAGUAAUGGUCCAGUGAGCCGCUUUCGCCACAGGUGUUCCUCCUGAUAUCUACGCAUUUCACCGCUACACCAGGAAUUCCACUCACCUCUCCCAUACUCAAGCCCUGCAGUUUCGUGUGCAGACUUCGGGUUGAGCCCGAAGAUUUCACACACGACUUACAAAACCGCCUACGCUCCCUUUACGCCCAAUAAUUCCGAACAACGCUUGCCCCCCUCGUAUUACCGCGGCUGCUGGCAC